GUUGCUUCUUACUGGUGAACUCGCUCCUAGAUAAGUAAUGGAGGAUGAUCAUGUUUCAGAAGCAUAUAUUGAUAGAAGGAAUCUCGCCAGUAUAAAACAGCACGGUGGGUUCUAUCUGGCCUCACUGUGUUACCUGUCUCCUGGUACAUAU
rnacentral:snoRNA from 1 species